GCGGGGAGCAACCUCCCUGGAGAUCUCGGUGGGCACUGGAAAUAGAAACUGCUCUCUUUGAAGCAUCUGUUAGAAGGUCCAAGAUCACCACGUGACUGCAACCCCCUUCCUAUUAAGCGCCAACUGAAUGCAGAGCUCUGUUAUAUCCUGAGAUGGCUGGUUCUGGUCCCCCUGGGUGCUGUUUAGUAAGGUCUUCGACCUGCUUCUAAAUCGGCUGGGAUCUGCCACACCUGUGCUGCAUCCAGAUUCUUUAGCCUGACAUGCAAGCCCCUCCCGUCUGGUUCCAAUCUGCAUUUGCAGCCAUGGCUGCUGGGCCGUCCUUCCUUGAAUCCCCUGCUUCUGGCAAGUUUGUUCCCUGG